rnacentral:rRNA from 1 species
AGUGAACGCUGGCGGUAGGCCUAACACAUGCAAGUCGAACGGCAGCACAGUAAGAGCUUGCUCUUACGGGUGGCGAGUGGCGGACGGGUGAGGAAUACAUCGGAAUCUACUUUUUCGUGGGGGAUAACGUAGGGAAACUUACGCUAAUACCGCAUACGACCUACGGGUGAAAGCAGGGGAUCUUCGGACCUUGCGCGAUUGAAUGAGCCGAUGUCGGAUUAGCUAGUUGGCGGGGUAAAGGCCCACCAAGGCGACGAUCCGUAGCUGGUCUGAGAGGAUGAUCAGCCACACUGGAACUGAGACACGGUCCAGACUCCUACGGAAGGCAGCAGUGGGGAAUAUUGGACAAUGGGCGCAAGCCUGAUCCAACCAUACCACGUGGGUGAAGAAGGCCUUCGGGUUGUAAAGCCCUUUUGUUGGGAAAGAAAAGCAGCAGGUUAAUACCCCGCUGUUCUGACGGUACCCAAAGAAUAAGCACCGGCUAACUUCGUG